rnacentral:rRNA from 1 species
UACAGAGGGUGCAAACGUUGUUCGGAAUUACUGGGCGUAAAGCGCGUGUAGGCGGCCCUGCAAGUCGGAUGUGAAAUCCCACGGCUCAACCGUGAAAGUGCAUUCGAAACUGCAGGGCUAGAGUCCUGGAGAGGAAGGUGGAAUGCUUGGUGUAGAGGUGAAAUUCGUAGAUAUCAAGCGGAACACCGGUGGCGAAGGCGGCCUUCUGGACAGUGACUGACGCUGAGACGCGAAAGCGUGGGGAGCAAACAGG